rnacentral:snRNA from 1 species
GGAUGUGAAGGCGAUGUGGCUGCGACAUCUGUCACCCCAUUGAUCACCAGGGUUGAUUUGGCUGAUCUGGCUGGCUAGGCGGGUAUCCCCUUCCUCCCUCACUACUCCAUAUGCGUCCCUCCCGAAGACGCGUGCUUGGUCAAAGAGGACGACCAUCCCCAAUAGAGGAGAACUGGUCUUCGGUCAAGGGUAUAUGAGUAGCUGUGCUUCCCUGCUAGAACCUCCAAACAAGCUCUCAAGAAAAUGAGAUGAUAAGCCACAGGAUGGGAGAAAAUAUUUGGGGACAAAAAAAACCCAAAACAUGUGGUAAAGGACUGUUAACCAAAAUAU